CUUGUGCAUGCAUGUAUGUAUUCGUGUGUGUGGGUUUUGUGUAGUUGCCGUCGUCUUGAAACAAAUUUGAUUGCUACUCGUUCGCUUGGUUGCUUCGGCGAUCUGCCUGUCGAUGGAGUAAAGAGAGGGAAUUGGAGAGGAGUUCUUUUGCUAACAACUGCAUUCGCGUAGCACUGCAAACGCAACUUGAGCCGCCGCUGCCGUUUUGCUGCUUUCGUGGACUUCAUCAUCUUUGGGGAUCCGAACGCAGCCGACAAAACCGAACAGAAACGAAGAGGGCCGAAGGCUGAGACGUAGACGAUGGAGCAAUUUAAUGCAAUGACGAGCUUCGGCAUCGCUCUCAGUCGCGGUUUGUUUGCCCAUUUGCCGACGCAGAUAAGAAAUUUGCGAUUGCUGCUGCGACGAAGACGACGACGACGUCGACAACGUCGACGACCAAUUGGGAAAACUAGAAAAGCAACAAUUUGAUUAUCCGGUUCAUUUCCAGGUAUUGCAAGUGCAUGCCUUAUCAGAGAGCAAAGCGAGUGGCAGAGAGCAAGAGAGAGGGGAAAGAGCACAAAAAUGAUCGUGUUCGAUAUCGAAAACUGCGCUUAGAAUUUCGUCCUGUUUGCGAUUGCACAUCGCAACUCAGCGGCUGCUGCCUGUGUUUGGCUUUUGUCUUUGUGUGUUUGUUGCCGGCGAGAACAAAUGGUUGUGUUUCGAGCAGCCAAUGGGCCCAAAGCCAAAGCCAAAGCAUACUCUCGCUCUUGCUCUCUCUGUUGGGCCAAGCGGAGGAAAGAGAGCGAACUGAGGAAUGAACGGGCAGUGCAAAAAAGAAAAAACGCAGAGAAUAUCAAGUCAAAGCGAAGACUGCAAAACAGAAGCACGCGCGGAAUGUGAAAAGUUGGUUCCCAUGACUCCAUGGACGAGGCGCUGUUCAAAGACACCGAAAUUCGUCGUCGUUCGUGGGUUUGUCUGUCGUUUUGUAUUGUCUUGUGUUGUGUCGGAGUCUGCUGCUUUUGCUCCUCUCCUCUCCUCUCCUCUUCCAUCUCGUUCUCGCUCGCUUUGUUGCCUUCUCUGUCGCACCACAGCUGGGGGCAUCGCGAUGCUGCUGCGUUUUGCGGCCAUUCGCAGCUCUGUUGUUGCUUUAUUUUGAGCAGCGUUUAUCAGCGAUUUGGAAGCAUUCAACAUGCUGUUUGCAAAACAUAAAAACAUAUUGAAACAUUUCGCAUUGCGAUAGAAAGAAGCGACAAAAGGAGCAGCAGUGAAAAUGAUGCUGAUCUUGCUAUCGGCGUCAGCAUCAGCAAUAACAUUGCAACUUGGCCGCUCUCGUAGCAUACUUUUCAGCGCACGCCAUUUGCCAUUCCACACACACACACACAUAUACACACACUCUCAUAAACUCACACUGCUCGUUUUUUUGGCCAAGUCAUUCGCGAUUACCUCAAAGUAAAUAUCUCGAAAACAUUUUCAUUACGUCAAUUUGUCGUCGUCAUCUUCAGAGUCUGCUUCGCUGGCUGGCUGCAUGGUUGCGUCUUUGCUUCGUUGGUUGGCUGAUUGCUUCUUAACUUGAUUCUCCAUCUCUAUUCAUAACGCGGCAUAAGAUUUGGCUGGCUGGAAGGAUGCCUGAUGCCUGAUGGCGGUUGGCGGCAUGCGCACGCGGCA